CACAGACUUCUCAUUUCCCCUGCCCGAGAAGCACCCACCUUCCCCUCCUUCUUCGGAAAACAGUACCCCAAUUUACUUCAUAGAGGAUAUUCGCUCCUACCAAGGGUGAUCAUGUGACCAAGGCUAGCCAAUGAGAUUCUUCCUGAGCUCAGGUCUCCCAGCUAGUGCUCCCGGAUAGGGCCCCAGCAAGGGCGAAUGGUCUCUCUGCGGCCUCAUUCUACAUUCCAAAAGGUGGCCAGCAACUCCUGCUCAGAGACCCCCAGAGACUUCCAGACUGUGUCCUGUGCUGUUCUAAGCCCAGCCCUCAGUGCCCUCCAGAUGAAUCCAGUUCCUGAGGCAAGCAUGGGGCGCAGGUGGCUCAAGACUGACCAGCCCCGUGCCCCUGGGGCAUCAGGAGGAUGACCCCCUCCGCCAGCUACCGUGGGAAAGCGUGAAUCUAACCAGCUCUGCUUCAAGCUUGUUCUCUGCCAGCCACAACAGGUUUGGGCUUCUAGGCCCUGAGGAACAGUCACCUUCCAGCAAGGGCAGACUCUGUUCCUUUCGAGGUCAAUCUGCAGGCUUCUUUCCUGGGCAACUGCAGGGCUGGGCCGAGCUCUAAUAAGACCAAGGUCCCACCACACUGGGCUCACUUUUUAAGUGAGGGGAGAGGAGACAGAGAACAAAUAAGAGAAUUCCAGAGGAAACAAUGACAUUAGAGAUGAGACCCCAGGAGCCAGAUGUGGCAUUAGACAGUGCCAAGAACAAGUGCCUAGUCUUGGGGUUGGAGACCGCUUUACCGCAUCCGAGAAGAGAGAAGAGGCCAGUGUGUGGGGAGUGGGGGAGGGCAGGCAACAAGCUUCAAGAGUCUGAGAGGUAAAUGGGCAAAUACAGCCAACCCUGCCCUAUAAGCUAAGAAAGAAUUCUCAGAUAUAAGCAGGAAAUAGCUACAACGGUGACCACUGGAAGCCAGGUUUUCUGUAGCCAGGACCUUGCGCCCAGGUAUUGACCUGGGUCCCCACAGAGACUUGGGGGAACAGACUGCUAUGGCUGUUCAGGUUUCCACCGGAGGCAACAGCCCCUCAGAGGGGCAGAGGGGCUGGCCCACCUGCACACAGCUCUUGAAAGGCCAAGCAGAGCAAGGCAGUCUGAUUGGAGCCGCCAUCUUUGAUUGCGACACCAUGGCCUCUGGGAUGUCUCUUUUACCUCUGUUCCAUGUAAUCCUGGUGAGAUGACAGUGAUCCCAAGGUCACCCAGACACACUUGGCCCUUCUUGUGACAAAGGCUGCACCCAGUGUCACAGCAGGGCCGGGGAGGGACAGGAGCGACAGGCAUCUUUAGGGUGUAUGUCUCCAGUCUCCAAAUCUGCAUUUAAACUGUCAUUCACAGGGAGCCUCUCCUGGCCCAAGAGGGUACCCCGGGGCUAUGUGAGAACAUCUGAGGCACCACAGGACUAACUCAAGUAUGGAGGCUGGUUUUGGUUUUGGGGAACAGAAUCUCAUGUAGAUUCUGGCCUCAAACUCCCGAUGUACGAGCGAUUGCCUGCCUCAGCCUCUGGGGGGGGGGGCGGGAUCACAAGUGCGCACCAGGAGGCCGGAGGGGUUCCAGUACAAUUUCCUCACUUCUGCCAGACACUGCUGCAGAGGAGAAAGCUGCUAGCAGCUCCCAGAGCCUAGAAAAGGGCUGUCGCCCACAAACAAGACCACUGUUGAGUGGUUUUUACCUCCAGAUAAACUAAAGGGAGGGCAAAAUUCAUUUUUCCUUUCCUUUCUUUUCUUUUCUUUUCUUCUCUUCUCUUCUCUUCUCUUCUCUUUUCUUUUCUUUUCUUUUAGAGACAGGGCCUCUCAAUGAACCUGGAGCUCAAUAAUUCAGGCCAACCAGCUUUGGGGGUCCGCCUGAUUCUGCCCCCAUUGUGCUGGGAUUAUGGGUGCUGCCGCCACACUUUGGGUCUUUACACAGAUGCUAAGGAAUCCCAGUGCAGGUCCUUGUGGCUUCUUGGCAUGAGGGUUAUCCACCCAGUAAAGUCUCCUCAGCUGCUAGAAAAUGUUUAUAGUCAUGUUGGCCAAGCAUCCUGCUUCGAGGUGCCCCUCUGCACAAUGUGGGCACUUUCCCUGCUCAGGUGUCCCGCCCAGGUGCUGGGCUGCAGUGUGUUCAGUGUGUUUAAUUAUAAGCCACUCUGCCUUUGUUUUCCCUUUCAUUCCUAAUCAGGGUAUUUCAUUGAUGACUGUGCAGAUAAGUUAUCUGCGAGUCCCUUCCAGGUAAACCUCCCCUCAAAGCACUCGCUAAAACCAGAAGGUGUUUGAUCUGUUGGUUUGGAAAGCUUUGAGGCUAAGACUAUCAGCAGAACCCCGUUUAUCCUUCCUUCCUUCCCCGAGUUUGGUUUAGAAUCCAGUACAACACCCAGCCAGGGGCCAGUGAGACACCACAAAGCCUGCGGCAGGGUGAGCUUCAGAAGGAUUUUGUUCUUUGGAAAAUAAGAGAUAGAAUAAAAGUUCUGUCCUAUAUCCCUACUUUGAAGGGAGAUUUGAUGAUUGGAGCUGUGGCCAAGAGACAAGAAGGUCAAAGACAUGAAGGACAGAGGGAGAGUUAGACAGCAGAAAACUGACAACAUCGUCACAAGAUGUUUUCAAAAGACAAGACUCGGCCUCUCCACUACUUCGAAUGUUUCGUUGUGUGGGGAAGAGAAACUUCAAUUGCCCAGAUCGCUAAGCCAGGGAUUCCAUUUUACUAUAAGAAAGCAAGACGACUAGACGCUGAGCUAUCUCGACGACCUUGGCCAGCUUCCCUGUUCUCCGAACACCCCCACCCCCCACCCCCUUGCAGCUGACCUUAGAAGUCUGCGCAUGGCAUGGGUCUCCAGAGCUUGAAGACAGGUAGGGCUCACCAAGCACGGAUCUCCACCUCUCUGGCUACCAAGGUGGGUCAGACUCCUGCUGGGUUCCAGCCGUGGGCCCACAAGAAAAGCUUUCAGCAGCUUACUUCCCAGACACAUCUGGCAUCCACCUGGCCAAACACAUCUUAUGUCCCUGCUCGAGGUCCCUCAGUCUAUGGCCUCAGCCUCCCCUACCCCGAGGCCCCACAGGCGUGCUUAGCUUAAGGAUUCAAGUCUGGGCUGGAAUGGAGGGCUGUCUCCAGUGGGGCCCAGUGUGUAAAGCAGGGGGCCACGUCUUUCACAACAGGCAGUUAUGAGUCUGGUGCCCCUGCCACUGGGCCCAUGUGUGUUUUGCAAUCCUACCGAGACUGGAAAUGUAAAACACUGGUUUGUGAGAAUCUAGCAAAGUGCUGGGCUCAGCUGCAGAGGUGGCUUGGAAGGUUGAUCUACUCGGGAAGCCUUGUGCCACCUGCCAGGGUAUAGGUACCCCCAACCCCCACCCUGCUGUAGCGGUGACUUCCGUCCGCCAAUCACCCAGGAGCGAGGCAUCACGGGAAGCUCAGUCAGCGCCUUCUAGUGCUCUUGGGAACGUAGAGGGGAGUGAGUGGGGUGUCCAAAACUAUUCACCCAAUAGGUGUGUGACAGCCCUGGGGGCGGGAGACCAUACAAGCGAAUACAAUAUGAGUUCUCCCUUGUGAGCAAGCCCAGCCUCACGGUUAAGUUAAAAUAACUGGGAAGUGCAACAGCUCUCAAGUUCAGGCCUUCAGCAGAUGACAGACACACACAUCCAAGACACGAGAGGUGUCCAGGGGUCUAGAGAACCAGCGGGCUCAGUCCUCCCUAACCUUCCUUCCUGCUCGCUCCCCACACUGCUUGGGAACCACCCAUCCCAGGCCCUCGGGGCAUGGCACUUGGCACUCUGGUCACUGUCACUCUGGUCACUCUUUGGGCAGGGCUCUCCUGAGCAGGAUAAAGUCCCGAUGGUCUCCACCCAGGGUGCCAUGUUUGUGACACUCAAAACUGUCUUCACCAAUACUGCGUGUCCCCUAGCCGGCAAGAGCACCCUUGUUUGAGAAUCAAUGACUCUUUCCUACUCUGAACCCUGGGCCCACUCGAGUCCUGCUGGCUCCACACCCCAAAUUUCUCUCCACGGCACCAACCCAUCACCAUGAUUCGGCCCCCUGGCUACUCUCUGUUACUCCUGUGGCCCUGAUGGUCCUGGGUAUCGUCUCCCCACUUCCUGGGCUUUUCGGAACACAGAUGGGCUCCUUCCUGUCUGACAGCUUCCCGUGGUUUUUCCAUGUCAUUUAAAAUAUAAAGUCUGAAUGUCAGCCACACUUCGGUCUCCAUUUCCACAACGCACGUGUGGCUCCCUACUCCCACUAGGCUUCUGUGUCCUGGACACGCUGUCCUCUAUACCCCAGGGCCUUUGCACAAGCUGUUCUCACCACCUCAAACGUUCUUUCCUUGGCUCUUCCCAAGGCCGGCCUCUUUCUUACACUUCAGGCCAUGGCUCAGAGAUCUCUUCUUCAGGGAGGCCUCUCUGGACCACCUCCCUGAAGGUGCCUCAAGGCGCUCUGCACUGGGGAAGGUGUCUUUUAUUUCAUUACUUUUUUUUUUUUCCCUAAGCCUGUUAUGAACAGCCUUGGCUGUGUCCCUGGUCACUGCCUGCUCUUGGGGCCUUGCCCCUUUGGAGGACCAGUUUCUCUCUUGCUGGGCUAGGCCCUCAGGCAGCACCUGGCUCUUGUCAAGUGCUCACUAGUGACAAGAGGUCAUCUGAUCUGUGCUGUACUUGGACCCAUGCUGUACUGGGAACCAUGCAGAACGUGAGCCCUUGUGGUAUUGGCCCUACGUGGGAUCAUGUGGUAACAGGACCUUCACAAUACCAAGAAGGCUGGCCUGUAAGAGGCAAGGGAGCUUUCGGCUCAUCUACAUACCGUCUUCUGCUGCCAUUACCAGAAGCAGACAAGGCUCUCUUCCCAAGCCUUUUGCUGACUUGAACGUGUGCGGGGUGCCUGCUCUCUCCAUGGGACUUAGACAAACACUUCAGGAUGAUUUUUGCAGUGGAGGGCCAGGUAAACUCAGCCCUUGGAAAGCCGUGGAUCAAAGCCAAGCUGCAGCUUUAUCCCCUGAAGCAGCUAAGAUAGGCUCUGCUUCCCAAGCACCCUGCAGAAAGGGGAGGGUGAUUCUCACCUCAGCCAGGAUGCUGACAGGACCUUCUGACCAUGGCUGCCCAUGCAGGUGGCUCCUUGCUUCCCAAAUGGCCAGGCUUACCUGUUCCAGGGGACCUCCUAUCUGUGGGGACCAAGCAGUCCUCUCUCCUCACUCAGAUCGUAAGUGUAACUUACUACCUCAGUCCGUGCACGGGUCAGUGGUCUCAUGGGAGGGCGUCUGGGGGCUUAGGGACUGUUACUGCAAAGAGGCUUGCUUCUGCUUUUUGGGCUGUGGCCACAGGGGUGAGAGGGCAGCCACACUGUGGUCCCGCCUGGGCAUCUCCGUAAUGACAAUGAUCCAGGUUUGCCUGGGACAGAUGCUAAUAAUCUCACUGUGGUCCAGGGACUCAGGGAAGGGAGUGAGGACCUACCCCCGGCACUUGUUGGAUGAGAACACAGAGGCACAGAACGGUUGAGUCACAUGCCCCCAUGUCAUUGCUGGGCAGGUGGCCAGACAGACCGGCUGUCUUAAACACCCAGGCUGGGGCUGCCAGAGACGGCAGCUUUAGUUCUGAGGAAGACACAGAGUGAAGUAGAGAAGCAGAGCGGAGACGGAAGAAUGGCGUCUGUGGCAAGUGCUGAGCCCCUGAUCCC